GUUGUGGAUGAGCUCAGGAUGGUUCGACAUUGCGGUGUAUCAGAGAUUGUGUGCCCAUUGACUGGCAUUAUAUGACUGACAGACUGCAAUGGUUUGAGUUAAAAAUCUUCGUUUGUGUUCUACUGAAGAAACAAAGUUACGUCUUGGAUGCCCUGGGGAUACUACAUCUUGGAAGUAUGUCCAAAAUAAGAAGUUUCACCAGAUGUUGUCAUCU